rnacentral:rRNA from 1 species
GGCGAACGCUGGCGGCGUGCCUAAUACAUGCAAGUAGAACGCUGAAGGAUGAUCUUGCUUCUCUGGGUGAGUUGCGAACGGGUGAGUAACGCGUAGGUAACCUGCCUGGUAGUGGGGGAUAACUCUUGUAAACGAUAGCUAAUAGCGCAUAAUAGUAGAUGUUGCAUGACAUUUGCUUAAAAGUUGCAAUUGCGUCACUACGAGAUGGGCCUGCGUUGUAUUUGCUCGUUGGUGGGGUAACGGCUCACCAAGGCCACGAUACAUAUCCGACCUGAGAGGGUGAUCGGUCACACUGGCAAUGAGACAAGCCCCAAAACCGUGCGGGAGGCAGCAGCCGGGAACCUACGGGAAUGGACGGAAGGCAAACCGAGGCAAGCCGCGAGAGUGAAGAAGGUCUUCGGAUCGUAAAGGUAUGUUGUAAGCGAAGAAUGAGCGUCAGAGUGGAAAGUACACACUGUGACGGUAUCUUACCAGAAAGGGACGGCUAACUCCGUG